UAGCGUAUAUUAAAGUUGUUGCAGUUAAAAAGCUCGUAGUCGGAUUUCGGGGCGGUCCGACCGGUCUGCCGAUGGGUACGCACUGGUCGGCGCGUCCUUCCUUCCGGAGACCGUGCCUACUCUUAACUGAGCGGGGGCGGGAGACGGAACGUUUACUUUGAAAAAAUCAGAGUGUUUCAAGCAGGCAGCUCGCUCUUGCAUGGAUUAGCAUGGGAUAAUGAAAUAGGACUUUGGUGCUAUUUUGUUGGUUUCGAACACCGAAGUAAUGAUGAGAAGGGACAGUCAGGGGCACUCGUAUUCCGCCGAGAGAGGUGAAAUUCUCAGACCAGCGGAAGACGAACCACUGCGAAAGCAUUUG
rnacentral:rRNA from 1 species